ACUAUCUAUCGCCGACACUCUUAUUUUUUUAGAGAGAAACAUAACACACCAUCCAAUUCGCUUUUUUCUUUUAAAAAUAAAUUUAGUUCGAAAUGUGAAGUAAUUAGGUUUCGAACUUGAAAUCUUGAGUAUCAAGUAUCAACCACUAAAUCCUUUGUCACUUGCGUUAGGGAUGACCAGACACUCUAAUUAGAUUGUAAAUGAGCUUUAGCAUUUUACACUAAUAAUUUGAAUCCAACAAAUAAUUUGU
rnacentral:lncRNA from 1 species